ACCUCCACUCCUUCUUCCUCAAUUCAUUACAGUCAAAACCCUAAUCCCAAUCACAUUCAAAUUCACAACCAAACCUCUCUAUUUAACCAAUUCUUCCUCCUCCAAAUAUUUCCUCAUCAUCAUGGAUCCUUCUCCCUCUCCCAGCAUGGACAAUCCAACUCCCAAUCAUGCCCAAAAAUUCCCCAGAAAAGUAUUCCUCCGUUUUGGGAAUUUCACGAUGUGCAGCGACGGCAAUCUGGAAUUGGAAGCCCCCACCGCCACCGCCGUCGCUGACAAAUCUUGUUCGCCGGAGAAAGGAUAAGAGUUUGACUACAAACCAGGGGUUUUCCCUUCAUCAACAGCCAAGAACAACCAACUCUUUCUUGAUCAAGACUCAAGCUUUACCCCUGAUAAUGGAUUCAGUUCGAUCACAGGCAACGUGGUCUACACAGGCUUCGACGUUGGAUCAACGAGCAACGUCGAAUCUGGCCCCAAUUCGACCUAACUUGGUUGCAAGAGCUUCUCAAGAGAGGAGACCAUGCGGAAAUAAACACGCUUCUUUUGAUCAUGCAGGGCUCCUAUCUCCCUCUCAUGACCGACCAAGCCCUCUCAUGACCGAUCAAGCCAAUCCUUCAUCAAUGCUGCAUUCUGCAAGCAAGGAGCAAGUUCGAUUUGAAAGCUCAUCAAAAGGGUGAAGAAUCCAAGCCAUGCCUUAGCCAUAACAAAGAUCUUCUCCACUCAGUUUUGGGCCAUCAUGCCUGAUGACACAGCAAAAUCAGUGAUGCAGACAGACUUGCUUCGAUUGCUUCCAUCAACCUAACAAAGUCUUAUAUGAGCAAGCAAUACUCUACUGCCAAGAGCUAGCCGAGGAUAAAGUGGGAUGCAUAUCACUAAACGAGCUAAUCGAAAAAAUCAGUGGGGAGGAGAGGCCAAAUCUUCUCAACGCCAUAGCAGCUUGCUCGGCUGAGCUCUCGUUCCAUGAGUACGGGAACUAUGUCGUGCAGUGCCUUCUCUCCCUGAAGAAAGGGCCCCAGCUGAGUUCGUUGGUGGUGCUAGGCCUUCGAGGGAGGAUUGUGGAGCUCUCUCAGCAGAGAGGAGGCAGCCAUGUGGUGGGGAAGUGCAUGAUGGCUUCAAAUCUUGGAUAAUUGGAUUAGUGUAUGUGGUGAAGGAAAUCAUUGUAACACCUCAAGCAUCACUGCAGCUUGCUCAAGAUCUUUAUGGGAACUAUGUCAUUCAAAAGGGUUUAAAGGAGACAAAGGAACGCGGGCUUGAGAGGCUGUGCGAGCUUCUGAUGAAGUCUCUGGAGCCUUACAGAAGAGAGUUGAACCAGACGAAGGGCGAAAAGAUUGUGCUCAGGUUCUUGAAGGAUGAGGGUGUCAUCAAAGGGCCAACAACCACUGCAUACAAGAAAAAUAAUUUGGUUUGGAGAAGGUUGUAGCUGUAAUGGGAUUCUUGUCAAUCCAUGUAGCUCUUAUAUGUAAUUUUUUUAUACUGUUUGCUGAGAUUCUCAUGUAGGUAUUUUUUUGUGCAAUUGGUUUUCCAAAUUAA